AUGCAAAUGCAAAUAUUUAUUUUUGUUAGAAUAUAUUAAUAGUAAAUCACUGAGUGACAUAGAAGGUUUUUAUUAGCCUCGUAGAUUUAAGGCAAUAUUGUUGAAACUUUGCACAAGCUAAAUCAAACCAGCCGAACCUUAUAUACAUAUGUAUAUGUGCCAAUUAGCAACAAAUCUUAAUAAUGGAAUUUAAAUUUUCAUUUCCAAUGUCACAAAACACACAAACAUAGCGUAAAUGACAAUAAAAUUGCUUUUAUUUUUUGGGGUUAUUUUAUUUAAAUUAACUCGUUUUUAGUAUUAAACCAUUCUUUUUAGAUUGAUUUUAUAAAAAAUGUGGGUUUUUAAUUUUUCAUUUCGUAUAUGAAUAUUCAUGUAAUUCACUCGGGUCAAGCUUUUAUAAUUGGUUUCUUUUUUAUAUAGCAUAAUUUAUAAUGAAACAUUCAAAAGUAGUAAUGCAAGAUAAAUUCGAGAUAUGUAUACACAGCUGCUAUCAUUAGAGAUCAUUUGAAAAUAUUUAAAAUCUAUUUUAGUUCGAUUUAAUUUAUAUUUAUUUUGGCAAUUUUGAGAUAUAAUAUUAUAUUUCUCUUUCACCAAAAAAACUAACUUACAAUUACAUAUAUAUUAAAGUUUGUGAAGGGCAGUGUAUUUUUAAGCCAAACUUUGGAAAAUUUGUAAUCACGCUCUAAGCAAGUUUGCUCGACUCUAUGCUCUUUAUUAUGUCAUCAUAAUACGAUUGACGAACACACAUAUCAAAGCAGUGCAUACUAUAAGCGUAUAAAUUUCAUUGAGUGACUUUCUGAGCACAAUUUUUUUUAACAAAUGGGUUUUACUCUGCUUAUCGAUCGCUUUGCAAUGUAAGAGCACGGAGCAGUAUAUAGUAAACGAAUCGGGGUAUAUAUCUUUAUUUACUCAAUUUGUAUGUGUUUAUUUUUAUCAAAACACGAUAUGCAGAUGCAACACUGAUUAGUCUAAUUUUAUUUGUUUUAUUUAUAUCAUUAAACAUAUGUAUAAUAUACAACAAUUUUUUUUUUUAUAUAAACUGACAUUAUUUAUAAAUCUAAUCUCAAAUGUGAAUGACUUUCAGCUGAAUUACUCUUACCACUUCACUUUUUCCUCUGAGGAUUUGUAUUUCUGUUUUCUUACGAUUCAAUUUUUUCCUAUUCUGUUUUAAUUGACUAAAAGGAGACCAUUAGUAAAACAGUGCCGACUCUGGUGAGGCAUAAUUGAUGCCCAGCAUCAAUCGGUGACUUUAUAAUCUCUAUAAAAUUGGGGUGUUCAGAGAAUAUAAGAAAUAGAACUACUAUUUUGCCAUACACAUUUUUGGAUAAAUAAACUUGCAAAAAAGCACAAGAAAAGCGAAUUAUGGUUAUGUUAAUAUUUGUAGCUUGGCUUGUUAUGUUAGAUUUCUACAGUAUUAAUGUGGAUAGUAAUGAUUUCUGAACACAAUUCAAUUCUUUUAUUUGAAUGCAGCCAAAUUCACAAAUAACGAAUAAUUACGUUUAGUAUUUUUAAACCCGCUACCCAUAGGGUAAAAGGUUAUUCUAACUUUGUGCCGGCAGCAAAUGUAUGUAACAGGUAGAAAGAGGUAUCUUCGACGCUAUAAAGUAAAUAUAUUUUUGAUCAGCGUUUGCUUUAUCUCGCACUGUCUAUAGAAUGACUGAGAUUCUUCCGUUUAUUUUGCGAUGCUUCUAGUUUCUCUUUUUUUCUUUUCACUUUUAUAAACUUGUCAAAUUUUGUGUCUGUUUAAAAAUUGUCAGCUUCGUAGUUGACUGACCGACAUACUAUAAACCUUGGUGUUUUUUUUUAAUUUUUUAUAUUUGGUGAAAUGUGAUCCAGAAAAAUUAAAGACAACAUAAAUUUCUAAUUUAGAUCAAAUGUUUGGAUACAUAUUAAGACCAGCGCUAUUCCUAAGAGAAGCAAUUUUGAAGAAUAUUAUCUGGCAACUGAUUGCAAAUGGAAAUCAAGUUAAAACAUAAAAAAAUUUUGUAACCUAAAAAAAUGAUUGUAAUAAAUUUAAUAAAUUAAAUUUUUACAACAAAAAAAAGUUUGUUUUUUAAUUAUGACUCGAAAUAAUACUCAAGUAUAUGUAAGCCUGAAUUGUUAUUAAAACGAGUCAUACAUAAUCUCUCUAAAUUCAAUAAAAUAAAAUACUAUCGCAGAAAUGACAUCAGUACGAUGAAAUUGAGACAACAACCUUGUGCGUUCCUUCACAAUGGUUAGUAUGCCAACCAUCUCUGACAGGUUGCAUCUUCAGAUCUUUAUCGGUCCUACGGCUGUAUGGGUUUGAUAGUACAGGUUUUGCAGUACGGAUGUGAAACACUUAUUGUUGAUUAUACAAUGGAGGUUGUUUGCUUUUAGUUUCAGUUGUGUUUGUGUUCAAAUAAUUAUAUUCUUAGUUUUCUAGUUGUUGGUAUGUAGUGGUAAUGUUGGUCCUAAGCUGCUGCCUUGUGAAACUCCAGUUACAAUCGUAUAAUCACCGGAGUUGAAUCUCACUGUAAAUUUCAUAUCUUAGAGAUAAGACUAGAAAAUAUUGUAAGUGUUAUUUACCUUGUUU